rnacentral:rRNA from 1 species
GAGCACGUAGGUGGGUUUGUUAGUCAGAUGUGAAAGCCUUUUGCUCAACGGAAGAAUUGCAUCUGAAACUACAAACCUUGAGUAUAGGAGGGGAGAGUGGAACUUCUGGUGGAGCGGUGAAAUGCGUAGAUAUCAGAAGGAACGCCGGCGGCGAAAGCGACUCUCUGGCCUAUAACUGACACUGAGUGUGCGAAAGCUAGGGGAGCAAACGGGAUUAGAUACCCCGGUAGUCCUAGCCGUAAACGAUGGGCACUAAGUAGGGGGAACUACCGAUGUUCUCUCUGCCGUAGCAAACGCAUUAAGUGCCCCGCCUGGGGAGUACGGCCGCAAGGCUAAAACUCAAAAGAAUUGACGGGGGCUCGCACAAGCGGUGGAGCAUGUGGCUUAGUUCGAUGCAACGCGAAAAACCUUACCGGGGCUUGACAUGGUAGAAGUAGGAACCCGAAAGGGGGACCAACGGUAUCCAGUCCGUAACUAUUACAGGUGUUGCAUGGCUGUCGUCAGCUCGUGUCGUGAGACGUUGGGUUAAGUCCCCUAACGAGCGAAACCCUUGUUUUUAGUUACCAGCGGGUAAGCC